rnacentral:tRNA from 1 species
UCGGCGCGCGAAGGUUGAGCGUCGCGCGGGCGCUGACGGUGGUCGAUGCGUCAGCGGCACCAUCGGGCGCAUCGGUGGCGCCGGAC